CUGCGCAUAUCGAGAGCCUUCAGGAGAAGUCACAGUGCGCGCUAGAGGAGUACGUGCGGAGCCAGUACCCCAACCAGCCCAGCCGCUUCGGGAAGCUGCUGCUGCGGCUGCCCUCCCUGCGCACCGUCUCCUCCUCCGUCAUCGAGCAGCUCUUCUUCGUCCGCUUGUGCUCCUAGAGCCCAUUCCGCAUCCCCGGCAGAGAGGCGGCGGAGCGGCGGAGACGGGAGCGCUCGCACCGAGGGGCAGUCGGGGUGCGGGGGGGGGCCCGGGAGGUGGACACUGAACAAAAGAAAGGGCCAAGUGAGAGCAGAGAUGUGGCCGUGUAGGGGAGAAGAACGGACCUCUCGUCCGUGGAGGUUGUGGUGUUUCGCUUUUUCUUUUUUUUUUUUUUCAUUUGGCCUAUUUUUUUUUUUUUUGAGAGGAGGAAAAAAGAAAUAAAUAAUAUUAAUAAAGGAGACAAAAAAAAAAAAAAAGAAAAAUUAAAAAAAAAAUGAGUAUUGAGGGGAUAUUAAUCAAACCUGAAGGGGAUACUGGAUCUUCCAGGAUUUAUUGUGGACUGUUGCUGAUAUAUGCUGUACAGUAAACCAACAAAACAAAAAAUCAUUGAAACUGAACUGAACCUUGUGUAGAAUGAAAAAAAAAAACAACUCAAAAGAAGUAAACAAAGAAAAAAAUUCUACGCGCAAACACUUACCACGAACAUUGUUACUCAUUUUGUAAUAUAUUAGUCUUUAUUUUCAUUUUUGGUAAAAGUUAAAACAUCAUAUGCGCAUAAAGAAAAAAAAGAAAGGAGAAUUAGGGGAAAAUAACAUUUUCCAAAUAAUUAUAAAAAAAUUGUCCUGUGUCUAUGUAUCUAUAUCUGUUUUGUAUUUUUUUCUGGUUCCAAACCAGGUUUCCUGUGAUUCUAUACUAAUAAUUUUUUGAUAUAACCCUUUGCUUCUUAUAACGAGUGCGAUAUAUGUUGUCAAAAUUGUUCUUCAAGAAUUAAAAUUGAAGUGAGAAUUUAAACAAAAAAAUAAAAGAAUUUAGCAAACUCCCCCCUACUUAUCACCCCACAAA